rnacentral:rRNA from 1 species
AUGCAUGCAGUCGAGCGAGAAACCCGGGUUCGCCCGGGCGGAAAGCGGCGAACGGCUGAGUAACGCGUGAGUAACCUGUCCCUGAGUGGGGUAUAACCUGGAGAGAUCCAGGCUAAUCCCGCAUACGAUCCCUGGGCCUUGGCGCAGGGAGGAAACCCGCUUGCGGGGCUCUAGGAGGGGCUCGCGUUCUAUCAGGUAGUUGGUGGGGUAACGGCUCACCAAGCCGAAGACGGAUAGCUGGUCUGAGAAGAUGGUCAGCCAGAGGGAGACUGAGACACGGUUCCCACUCCUACGGGAGGCAGCAGCAAAGAAUUUUGGGCAAUGGGCGAAAGCCUGACCCAGCGACACCGCGUGGGGGAUGAAGGCCCUAGGGUCGUAAACCCCUUUUUCAAGGGAAGAGAAAGGACGGUACCUUGAGAAUAAGCCCCGGCUAACUACGUGCCAGCAGCCGCGGUAACACGUAGGGGGCAAGCGUUACCCGGAUUUACUGGGCGUAAAGAGCGCGUAGGCGGCGGAGUAAGUCUUCUGUGAAAUCUUCCGGCUCAACUGGAAGAGGUCAGGGGAUACUGCUCGGCUUGAGGGCAGAAGAGGAAGACGGAAUUCCCGGUGUAGCGGUGAUAUGCGUAGAUAUCGGGAGGAACACCAGAGGCGAAGGCGGUCUUCUGGGCUGUGCCUGACGCUGAGGCGCGAAAGCGUGGGGUAGCAAACCGGAUUAGAUACCCGGGUAGUCCACGCCCUAAACGAUGGACGCUAGGUAUGGGGGGUAUCGACCCCUUCCGUGCCGAAGCUAACGCAUUAAGCGUCCCGCCUGGGGAGUACGGCCGCAAGGCUAAAACUCAAAGGAAUUGACGGGGGCCCGCACAAGCGGCGGAGCGUGUGGUUUAAUUCGAUGCUAAGCGA